ACAUAUUUUAGAGCCUAAUUCAUUUUAAUUAAAAAUUAAAAUUACAUUCAAAUCCUAAUUAAGAAUAUUAAUAUUAAAAUUCAUCCCUAAAUAAAUUUAUUGUAAUCCAUCUCUACUUUUAAAAGCUGCACCUUGAUCUGAUUUUUUAUAUAAUAAAAUACAAAAAUUAUAUAUUUCAAAAAAUAAUUUUUAACGACGAUAUACAAGCAAAAUUAAAAGUUACCUAAAUCGUGAAUUAUCGAUUACAGGACAGAUUCCCCUGAUUGGAAUAAAAAUACCGCCAAAUCUAUUGACUUUAAAGACCAUAACUUAUAUUUAUCAAGUUUAAAUUUUCUACAUCUAGAAUAAUGGGGUCUCUAAUCCCAGUUUUAAACCUAGAUCUCUUAACAUCAUAAACAAUUAGUUAAUUAAAUAAAAAAUAAGAUUUCACCCAACAUUUUUUUUAAAAUAAAAAAUAAAUUUUAUUAAUUAAUUAUAACUAAACAAAAAUAAUUGUAUUUUUUGUGUAACCGCA
rnacentral:rRNA from 1 species